rnacentral:rRNA from 1 species
CGAAAGCAGGUCAUAGUGAUCCGGUGGUUCUGAAUGGAAGGGCCAUCGCUCAACGGAUAAAAGGUACUCCGGGGAUAACAGGCUGAUACCGCCCAAGAGUUCAUAUCGACGGCGGUGUUUGGCACCUCGAUGUCGGCUCAUCACAUCCUGGGGCUGAAGUCGGUCCCAAGGGUAUGGCUGUUCGCCAUUUAAAGUGGUACGCGAGCUGGGUUUAGAACGUCGUGAGACAGUUCGGUCCCUAUCUGCCGUGGGCGUUGGAAGAUUGAAGGGGGCUGCUCCUAGUACGAGAGGACCGGAGUGGACGAACCUCUGGUGUUCGGGUUGUGUCGCCAGACGCAUUGCCCGGUAGCUAAGUUCGGAAUCGAUAACCGCUGAAAGCAUCUAAGCGGGAAGCGAGCCCUGAGAUGAGUCUUCCCUGAUACUUUAAGUAUCCUAAAGGGUUGUCGGAGACUACGACGUUGAUAGGUCAGGUGUGUAAGUGCUGUGAGGCAUUGAGCUAACUGAUACUAAUUGCCCGUGAGGCUUAACCAUACAACACCCAAGGGGUUU